ACACGUAGGUAACCUGCCCAUGUGCCCGGGAUAACUUCUGGAAACGGAUGCUAAAACCGGAUAGGUAGCAGACAAGCAUUUGACUGCUAUUAAAGUGGCUAAGGCCAUGAACAUGGAUGGACCUGCGGUGCAUUAGCUAGUUGGUGAGGUAACGGCCCACCAAGGCGACGAUGCAUAGCCGGCCUGAGAGGGCGGACGGCCACAUUGGGACUGAGACACAGCCCAAACUCCUACGGGAGGCCAGCAUG
rnacentral:rRNA from 1 species